rnacentral:rRNA from 1 species
AGCUCCACUAGUGUAUGCUAAAGUUGCUGCAGUUAAAAAGUUCGUAUUUGGAUUUUUGGCUUCCGGUGUUGGGUCCCGCCUUCUAGGUGUGUGACCUUUUGCCGGGCCUUCUGAGCGCGGGUUUUACUCGUGUUCUGGUUACCGUGAGGAAAUUGGAGUGCUCAAAGCAGGCGUAUGCAGCUGAACACAUUAGCAUGGGAUAACAAGGCAGGACUCUUUUCUUGUUUUGUUGGUUUCUCGUAGAAGAGAGUAAUGAUUAAUAGGGGCAGUUGGGGGCAUUAGUACGGCUGCGUCAGAGGUAAAAUUCGUAGAUCGUAGUCAGACUAACUUCUGCGAAAGCAUUUGUCAAGGAUGCUUUCA